CCUACGGGUGGCAGCAGUGAGGAAUAUUGGUCAAUGGGCGCGAGCCUGAACCAGCCAAGCAGCGUGAAGGAUGACUGUCCUACGGGUCGUAAACCUCUUUUAUAAAGGAAUAAAGUGAGGCACGAGUGCCUUUUUGAAUGUACUUUAUGAAUAAGGAUCGGCUAACUCCGUGCCAGCAGCCGCGGUAAUACGGAGGAUCCGAGCGUUAUCCGGAUUUAUUGGGUUUAAAGGGUGCGUAGACGGGUUGUUAAGUCAGCUGUGAAAGGCUGCGGCUCAACCCUAAGAUAGCAGUUGAUACUGGCGGGCUGGAGUUGGAGUGAGGUAGGCGGAAUGCGUGGUGUAGCGGUGAAAUGCUUAGAUAUCGCGAAGAACUCCGAUUGCGAAGGCAGCCUACUGGACUGCCACUGACGUUGGUGCUCGAAAGUGUGGGUAUCGAACAGGAUUAGAUACCCUAGUAGUC
rnacentral:rRNA from 1 species